UCCCACUCCACUGUGCUGCGAAAGUGCCUC
rnacentral:piRNA from 1 species